ACCUCAUGAUUUGGGCAUUGCAUCAAUUUAUCAUUCAAUCUUUACCAAACUUUAUAUAAUGAUUCACCACUAAGUUGGCAAAAAUUUGUAAUCGCGUCCCUUGGUU
rfam:Capsicum annuum cultivar Zunla-1 chromosome 2, whole genome shotgun sequence